UACGUAGGGGGCAAGCGUUGUCCGGAAUCAUUGGGCGUAAAGAGCGUGUAGGCGGCCCGGUAAGUCCGCCGUGAAAGUCCAGGGCUCAACCCUGGAAUGCCGGUGGAAACUGCCGGGCUGGAGUCCGGAAGAGGCGAGUGGAAUUCCUGGUGUAGCGGUGAAAUGCGCAGAUAUCAGGAGGAACACCAAUGGCGAAGGCAGCUCGCUGGGACGGUACUGACGCUGGAGACGCGAAAGCGUGGGGAGCAAACAGG
rnacentral:rRNA from 1 species